GCCUACCCCUGGUGUAGUGGUUUGAAUGUUAGACUGUGACUGUAGAGACCAGGGUUCGAUUCCCAGCACAGCCA